CGUGGGGAUCAUGUGCUGUCCCUGGGAAUCUGUUCACCGGUACAGAAGACUGCAUGGAAAACCAAGGCAAAGGAGUGGUGGUGUGUGGCUUAUCUCAGGGCAGGAAGCCAGCAGUUACCGUGUCUUUGGGUCUUGAUAUGCAGUUCAGGCUGGCCUUGAACUCGCUGUGUAGACCACGCUGGCUUUGAACUUGUGGCGAUCCUCCUUCCUCAGCCUCCCGAGUGCUGGGAUUAAAGGCGUGGCCACCAUGCACACAGUUUCUAGUUGCUGACGGGAACACCCUGUGGGGAGCAGGGCCUGAGCAGUUGCAGAAAAACCAGUGGCUUCACUGGAAAUUAACGAAGAACUAAAUAUGAGCUGCAAAUAAAAGCGGAAAACUUCGGAAAGAGGCCCAUCUCCAAAUGCUAAACUUGGGGAAAGAUGUGCUCCUAGAAGAUGUAAAAAGAGGUCCAUAAAUUCAGAGAGUGGAAUUCUCCAGAACUCAGUGGCUCUGUAAGUGUCUGCAUUUAAAGUUUUGUGUCUUCCAGAUGCACUGAUAUUUAGCAAUGGGAGUGUAUUAAAAAGUUGGUAUUCACCCCACCAGGAAUGUUUCAAGUACUAAUCAGGUGUGCUGAUUUUCAGGACACAGGAAGAAAAGGAAAAUGGAAUCAUUGCCUGCACCAGCCACGUGUCACAUAGUUUAAAUAGGCUUACCUGCUGGAAGCCCCCAGAAAAUCGUUCCCCUUCGAAGGCUUUGGUUUCCUCAUUUGCAGAGUAGGGAUUUGAAUUGUACCCAUUUCAUUGGUUUGUUAAGAGGACUGAAUGAGACAGUGUAGGUGAAGAUUUUAGCAUAGUGACUGCGCACAUGGUAAGCCUGAAAUGAAUAGUGAUUCACAGUGCCCAGGAGUGGCGGAAGUCAAACAGUUUUGAUGAUCUUUGGAAUGAAUGGAAAGCAUUUGGUUUGUUUUCCCUUUUUUGUAACAAAAAUUGCAGUUUUAAAGUGCAGUUUUUCCAUUUCUCCUAUUUAUUCUAUUUCCGAUAGCAUCUUUACCAGCACCUUACACUUCUGCUGUCCAUGCAAAUUUUUUUUGUCAGAAUUGAAGGAAGUGUCAGUGUCUUAAUAUUUCUAGGUUCUUAGCAGUUCAGAUGGGAGUUGAUAGUUAUUUAACAAAUAGGGAUUUGGAAUCUUAAGUUGUUUUUAAAAUAACAUUUUGUUUUUCUGAAGACAAAGAAAUAAAAUUGCUUCUUGGCAAGGAUGGUGGUCAAAGGGCAGGCCUGUGGGAGCCAGUCAACCUGGUGCCCAGUCCUGCUCUCCCCAACUGCUGGAAUUGCUGAGGGUAUAAAGAUUACGCAAGUUAGCACACACACAAUACUUGAGACAGGGCCCAGCACAUAGUACAUGCUCAAUAAAUAUAAAUGGCUAUUGGACAAAAUACAGCAAAAAACAACAAAGGAAUUGGUUACUCUCAUGGCACUGGGAUAAUCACUGCUAAAUAUUUAUAGAGCAUGUUGUGUGAUUAACAUCACAUUAGGCACUGGGGUGUUUAUUCUAUAUAUAGGCCAAUUUAUUGAGCCUAUAAUGCUGUCAGGCACUGUGCUCAGUGCUUUACACAUGCCCAUCACCUCAUUUCAUUCACAUAACAGUCAUGUAAAGUUGGCAAUAUUAUUAUCCUUUCUCUUUUUGAGAUGAGCACACGCAUCAGGAAGAUCAGGUAAUUUCUUCAAGGUCAUACAGGUGCUAAGUGAUGGCUCUAAGAUUCAAACGGGACUUUGAUAACAAAGUUUACCUUUAGGUACUUGUAGGCCUGGAACUGCAGUAAGACCAGGCAGCCCAUAUGAAAGAGAGAAGUGUCAUCUAAAUGUGCUCCACCUGUGACUGUAACAUGGAUAAUUAGGUCUCAGGUUCUGCCUCAACACAGUGAUGGGGGCAUUAGAGCAGAGGUGGCCCAUCCCGGGGACAGUGCCGUGUAUUAAACAGACAUCAAGACACUCAGAUGGCUCUUCUGAGAAGCCUUUGUAGAGCGCCUACACACUCAAGCCCGGCUCUUCAUCACUUGGUACCCUGAACUAGUGUGGCCCAGAACCUCUGGCCAGAUACUUCUCUGCUGAGAUCAGGCAAGACUGGGUUCGUUUGGGGCGAUAUGGCCACAGACAGCUUUUCUUUAAUAUCUGGCCCCUGUUAGUCACUGUUCCUCUAUAAAAAUACUGUUUUGUGUUUGUUCUUGUUUCUCAAGUGCAAUUUCAAGUGGAGGAGAUAAGCACUGUCAAUGGAAAUAUCUUUUGCAGACACUGACAGGAAUUAUCCCUACAGAAAUCAGCGGGUAAAAGAUGCAUAAAUGUUUAUCUUACUUUGCAUGUUAAUGAAAACAUUGCACACACUUGGUCCCCAAGCAAAUUAAUUGUCACACAAUGAGAAUCGGUGACACGCAGUCUGUAUUGAAUUGUCCUCUGUUGGAUCGGCCGCCCUUCCUCAUGACAUCACGGAAGAAGCUGACUUCUGCAGCUGAACUGCAAGAGCAGCCGCUGGGUUAGCACAUCGCAAGGCCCCAGGAGAACCCAAGGCACCAAGCUUUAGCUUCUGGCCGGGGCUUUGUGUGUUGUGUUGAGAAAAUUCUUUUUGCCCCAAGGGUUCUCUUUCCCUUGUGCAGGAGGUGCAGAGCUGGGCUCAGAAGUUCCAGUGUCGAGUUCUGACCUUCCAAAUUCCAGUGUUGCCCUAGCCGUGUGAUUUUUACAAGUCAUAGCCUCUUUGGGCUUUACUGCAAACUGGAGUUUUGGCUAAUAAGUGUUUUUAAAUUGUGUUAAAAUACACAUAAUGCAAAAUUUAUCUUUUUAUCUUGUGUGUGUGUGUGGUGCUGGGGAUCAAACCCAAAGCCUUUACACAUACCAGGCAAGCGUUCUAGAACUGAGCUACACCCCAUCUCAACUUGUCACUUAGCGCACAAAUCCAGGAGGCUAAUGAUUAUAUGGAAAUAUAGUUGUAACACUACCAGUUUACCACCAUUUGUCUAGCAGUCAUUGUGAGGGGUAAAUGAGAAAAAAGGAUGUGAAGAUGCUCUGUAAAAUAAAAAGCCCUCUGCUAUUGUGGGUGUGACCACACCCCCCUCUUUUGGUUUGGUUUCCCCACUGGUGACUUGGACUUCAUAUUCUUUAGUCCUAAUUUUGUGAAAAAAAAUUUUUUUUCUUACCUGACAG
rnacentral:lncRNA from 1 species